rnacentral:rRNA from 1 species
UACGUAGGGCGCAAGCGUUAUCCGGAAUUAUUGGGCGUAAAGAGCUCGUAGGCGGUUUGUCGCGUCUGCCGUGAAAGUCCGGGGCUCAACUCCGGAUCUGCGGUGGGUACGGGCAGACUAGAGUGAUGUAGGGGGAGACUGGAAUUCCUGGUGUAGCGGUGAAAUGCGCAGAUAUCAGGAGGAACACCGAUGGCGAAGGCAGGUCUCUGGGCAUUAACUGACGCUGAGGAGCGAAAGCGUGGGGAGCGAACAGG